CCAGAAUCAAUCUACCACACAAAGAACAGCUCAGACAAAAUAAGGAGGCAAUGUACCAGCCUCUAUUUAAACACCUAUCUGAGACAAGGAACAGUGGGUAUGAAUAAAGGAUAGUUCCUUUAGUAAGUACCAAGAGGCUAGCCUGUUUAAACCUCAUUAUUCCCACCAGAGUCAAUAACUACUGGCCAUGUUUUGUGCUUCAAGGUGUUAUUGUGAAACGAAUAAUAUGUAAGCAUUUUGUUCCCAUGAGAAGACUGAUUACAGAGUCCAGUGACUGUUACAAAUGUCUUAAUAGAUCAAAACUAUGACUUUUAGAGUCUUUUCUUUAAGUCUCCUACAAGACAAGGUGUAACGAAGUGGGGAUUUUCUUGGUUUUUUUCAGUGGUUUGCAUGCAGAGGGGGUGGGACUCGGUUUCCCUGGGUGUUACUGGUUCAAUGAGGUGAUGGGAGAGGGAGUUCAUUGUUACAGAGCCCCAGCGAUGGAAUUGGGACCCCAGCCAAUGGCCAGGAAAAUGGAUACCCCAGUGACUGGUGACCUAGUGACCAGGAGGCCCAGCUUGGCUGACACAGCCAGUUCUGGCCAAUGGGAAGACAAUGGGCUGCGGAGAGAAGACCCCAGUGACCUGACCAACUGGUUCCAGCCAGUGGGGAACAAAGGAUGGCUGAGAGGAGAGGAGGCCCAGGCGACCCUGUUUACCUGGACAGAAGACAAAGGACAGAGGCGGUGCUUGGGGGCAGGUGAUAUCGGAUGCCCUGCUGGAAAGCAGGAGGUCUCUGGACUGGAGAAGGAGAGAAGGAAGCAGGAGAGAUUUAGAUGUACUAUGCUGAGGGAGGCCAGGCCUGAGGGCCCUGAGAGUUUCCUAUGCUGUGUUCAGACGCUCAGUAAACCUUCCUGGUUUACACUGGAUGAGAGUUGCUCCUGUCUAGAGAACAGGGUUGUAUUAUUCCCUCUGAGAGUGGCAGCCCCGGGGUUCCAGAGCGAGUGGACUCCCUGAAGGGGCCCAUGGCAAGAGACAGGUGUGCCAAAGGCUCAGAGAGGUGUGGUUCCAAGAGGUGGAGGGGCUUAACCCCCAAGAGAGAGUGGACCCCUGAAAAAGGCGGUCACACUGAAGGGGGUUCCCUUCAGGGAUUGUAUGGGGCCAAGAGUGGGCAUGACCUGUGAGUCUGUGACACAUGGCAACACACAGCACUUGAAAACCCUGAUAAUAGCAAAUGUUAACUAAGUUAAAUAUUAAGCCUCUUAAAUAUUUGCAAGGGAAGAGUAACUUAUAUUAACUUUUAAUGUAAACAAAAAGAAUCCAGGGGUCAUCUGCAUUUGGAAAUGCCAGCCUUUGCAGAUCCGCCCAUAUGCUCUCCUGUGAUGGUACCCAGGGUUGUGAGGCACCUCACCACUGCCUGGCCUUAGCACAAAAUAGUUUUGUCUGCGCCUGUUGUGGAUCUGUGCCCUGAAACCACCAGCCUGUAGUAGCAAAACACUACUUUCCAGGCCUUGCUCUCUCUGUACAGGUAGUGAUAGGCACACACCAACCCCUGAAUACUCAGAGCAUUCUCUGCAACAUCCAGCCCCUUAUCCAGUGAACACUCACACAAAUCACCAGGCCUGCUGUUCCCAAAGGAACAGUACACUCAAGCUUGUAAGAUUCAGUUUAGGACUAUCACUUUGCUUAGUUAAAUUUAUUUUUGUUUUCACUAUAACUAUAUUAUCAUAGCAGAGAUUCAAGUAAUAGUGAGUAAGACUAUUGGAAACAAAUGGCUACGUAUAAAGCAAAAUCAUAACUUGCUUUCUAGAGACUAAACUUAACUAACAGUUUAACCUCUAAAGAAGUUUAUCUCACCCAAAGUUCUCUUCAGCAUUUCCACCAAAGCUGGUUGAGACCCCCUUUUCAUGAAGCAAAACUGCUGUCCUUCUCUUACUGCCUUAGUGAAGGCUGCCUGAGGCCUGGUCUACACUACAAGUUUAGAUCAAAUUUAGCAGCGCUAAAUCAAAUUAACACUGCACCCGUCCACACAACGAAGCCAUUUACUUCGAUGUAAAGGGCUCUUAAAAUCGAUUUCUGUACUCCUCCCCGACGAGGGGAGUAGUGCUGAAAUCGACAUUGUCGGUUCGAAUUAGGGUUAGUGUGGACGCAAUUCAACGGCAACUAUCCCACAGUACAUCAUUGUGACCGCUCUGGACAGCAGUCUGAACUUGGAUGCGCUGGCCAGGUAAACAGGAAAAGCCCCAGGAAUUUUUGAAUUUUAUUUCCUGUUUGCCCAGCCAGGAGAGCUGAUGAGCACAGGUGACCAUGCAGAGCUUAUCAGCACAGGUAACCAUGCAGUCCGAGAAUCGAAAAAGAGCUUCAGCAUGGACCAUACGGGAGGUACUUGAUCUGAUUGCUGUAUGGGGAGAGGAUUCCAUGCUAGCAGAACUACGUUCCAAAAGACGGAAUGCCAAAACAUUUGAAAAAGUCUCCAAGGGGAUGAUAGAGAGAGGACACAAUAGGGACUCACUACAGUGCCGUGUGAAAGUUAAGGAGCUCAGACAAGCAUACCAGAAAACCAAAAGAAGCAAACGGACGGUCCAGUGCAGAGCUGCAAACAUGCCACUUCGACACUGAGCUGCAUGGAAUUCUAGGGGGCGCCACCACCACUACCCCACCCCUGACCGUGGAUUUGGAGGAGGGAGUACUCUUAGCCGUGCCUGAGGACUUUGCGGAUGGGGAAGAUGAGGAGGAGGAGGAGGACGAGCUUGCGGAGAGCACACAGCACACCGUUCUACCCAACAGCCCGGAUCUUUUCCUCAGCCUGACUGAAGUAGCCUCCCAACCCUCCCAAGGCAGUAUCCCGGACCAUGAAGCCAUAGAAGGGACCUCUGCAGCAAAUUUUUCAAGCCUCCCUCCUCCAUUCCAAAGGCUGUCUCGGAUAAGGCGGAGAAAAAAAAUGCACAUGAGAUGAAAUGUUCUCUGAGAUCAUGCAGUCGACCCGCAGUGAAAGAGCUCAUUUGAAUGAGUGGAAAGACACAGUAUCACAGUACAGGAAAGCGGCCAACGAACAUGAGGACAGGAGGGAUGAAUGUGAGGACAGGAGGGAUGCUCAAGAUGAGAGGUGGCAAGAUGCAACGCUGGAGCUACUGCGGGAUCAAACGAACGUGCUCCAGCGUCUGGUGGAGCUUCAGGAACGGCAGCAGGAUCACAGAGUGCCACUGCAGCCCUGUAUAACCUCCCUCCCCAUGUUCCAUAGCCUCCUCACCCAGAUGCCCAAGAACGUGGGGAGGGAGGCUCCAUGCACCCUGCCAUUCCACCCCAGUGGACAGCCCAAGCAAAAGGCUGUCAUUGAACAAGUUUUGAAGUAGCCUUUAGGAAAAGGCUUCCCUCCUCCCACACCUCAGCCAGGCUACCUUGUCAGUUCUCUCCCUAGUUUUAUAAUCAAUUAAUAAAGAAUACAUGGUUUUUAAA